rnacentral:rRNA from 1 species
GAUGAACGCUGGCGGCGUGCCUAAUACAUGCAAGUCGAGCGAACGGACGAGAAGCUUGCUUUUCUGAUGUUAGUGGCGGACGGGUGAGUAACACGUGGAUAACCUACCUAUAAGACUGGGAUAACUUCGGGAAACCGGAGCUAAUACCGGAUAAUAUUUUGAACCGCAUGGUUCAAAAGUGAAAGACGGUCUUGCUGUCACUUAUAGAUGGAUCCGCGCUGCAUUAGCUAGUUGGUAAGGUAACGGCUUACCAAGGCAACGAUGCAUAGCCGACCUGAGAGGGUGAUCGGCCACACUGGAACUGAGACACGGUCCAGACUCCUACGGGAGGCAGCAGUAGGGAAUCUUCCGCAAUGGGCGAAAGCCUGACGGAGCAACGCCGCGUGAGUGGUGAAGGUCUUCGGAUCGUAAAACUCUGUUAUUAGGGAAGAACAUAUGUGUAAGUAACUGUGCACAUCUUGACGGUACCUAAUCAGAAAGCCACGGCUAACUACGUG